GCGGCGGCGGCGGCGGCGGCGGCGUGAGGGGGCGGAGCCGCCCAGAGCGCCCUUUGUCUGUGGAGGCUGUUAUGCCCUCUCACAAUGCUAUACUUUCCCAAGGGGGGAACAUGGAGGAGAAAGAAAUGAGUGAUGGAUCACAGAUAGUCAGGUCUCAGCUCAGGUCGUGAUCUUGAGGUCGUGUGAUCAAGCCCCUCAUUGGGCUCUGUGCUC